rnacentral:rRNA from 1 species
AUUGAACGCUGGCGGCAUGCUUUACACAUGCAAGUCGAACGGUAACAGGUUAAGCUGACGAGUGGCGAACGGGUGAGUAAUGCAUCGGAACGUGCCCGAUCGUGGGGGAUAACGCAGAGAAAGCUGCGCUAAUACCGCAUACGAUCUGAGGAUGAAAGCGGGGGACCGUAAGGCAUCGCGCGAUCGGAGCGGCCGAUGUCAGAUUAGGUAGUUGGUGGGGUAAAGGCCCACCAAGCCGACGAUCUGUAGCUGGUCUGAGAGGACGACCAGCCACACUGGGACUGAGACACGGCCCAGACUCCUACGGGAGGCAGCAGUGGGGAAUUUUGGACAAUGGGCGAAAGCCUGAUCCAGCAAUGCCGCGUGCAGGAAGAAGGCCUUCGGGUUGUAAACUGCUUUUGUACGGAGCGAAAAGGUCCUUUCUAAUACAAGGGGCUCAUGACGGUACCGUAAGAAUAAGCACCGGCUAACUACGUGCCAGCCGCCGCGGUAA